AGCAUUAGCUGAUGAAAUAGCUCAGGAACAUCCAGCUACAGGAGGAGCUACCCCUCAUACUAGAACUACUCGUGCUAGAGGAGCUGGUUCUACAGCCAGUAUUUCAACUCCUUCUAUCUACGUUCCUCAAACCAUAACCGACUUUGAGCUUCACAGAGAGUUAUUUGAAAUACAGGAGCAAUUUGCUGAAGCGGUUCAACAUACAAUAAAAUACUAUUCACAAAAGGGAUAUAAGGUGCCAGAAUUUAUUGAUUACAUCACAGCACGUAUGGUCACUUUACUUGCCCCAAUGAGAUUACUCCAGAUAAAGCACAGGCAGUUAGAAAAGAGUUCAAGGAGAUAACAACUAUAAGAGAAUUAUUUGAUUUACUGCAAGACAAGUACACAUCGUGGUUCAAGCACGAGCCAAUAUCAAAGCUUGUUUAUGAAAAGGACGUCAACGAAAAUCCGUAUGAAGAUGAGGAUGAUCCACUAGAUUACAUGCAAGAUGAAUUCAUUGAUCCCGACUAUAUAGAAAAAGCAGUACGUUACUGGUCUCGGUAUCAAAGCCGUUUAUAUGAAUACUUUGAAAAGUGCAUUACAGUAGCUGAUCCUGCUUCAUAUGGAAUAACUGAUGCUCCUUCUGGUAAACAAAUAAUGGUAGUUAAAGUUGAUCGAGGUGACUACAAUCAGAAUGACGUCUACUUCUUACGCAGAGCAAUACCACCACAUCUUGACAAACCUAAUUUGAAGCUCUACCUUUGCCAAGUUCUUUCCAAUUAGAUAGUCACUUUAAUUUUUGUAAUUGAUAAAUUUUCCAUUUGGUACAUGUACACAUUGCUAGCAAUAAGUAGUCAGUAUUGUUACAUAUACUUUGUCAUUCUAUGAUACAUUACUUUAUAAUUUUA